rnacentral:rRNA from 1 species
UCUUGACAAACAUAAGAGGUCCAGCCUGCCCAGUGACAAAGUUCAACGGCCGCGGUACCCUAACCGUGCGAAGGUAGCAUAAUCACUUGUUCUCUAAAUAAGGACUUGUAUCAACGGCACUACGAGGGUUAUACUGUCUCCUUUUUCCAAUCAGUGAAACUGAUCUCCCCGUGAAGAAGCGGGGAUCAAAAUAUAAGACGAGAAGACCCCAUGGAGCUUUAAACUCACUGUACACCUCUAUGUUCCUAUAUCCUUAUAACACAAGAAACCUGUACAUUAGUUUUAGGUUGGGGGGACCACGGAGUACAACUUAACCUCCAUAACAAAUGGGCUAACACCCUUAUCCACGAGACACAACUCUAAGAAUUAAUAGACUAAUGCUUAUGACCCGAUAUUCGAUCAAUGAACCAAGUUACCCUGGGGAUAACAGCGCAAUCUACUUCAAGAGCUCAUAUCGACAAGUAGGUUUACGACCUCGAUGUUGGAUCAGGGUAUCCCGGUGGUGCAACCGCUACCAAUGGUUCGUUUGUUCAACGA